rnacentral:lncRNA from 1 species
CCCAAAAGGACCAAUCAUUCCAAAUUCAAAGUCUCAGUUCCCGGAACCUUCUAGAAGGAACCCCCAGGAAUGCCAAGCCCUAUUUCUCUUUAGUGCUCCAGGCCUGGUUCUCUGCCUGGGUGGACUGUUUCUGGGGCUGUUCCAUCUAUAUCUGCAGCUUCUUCUAAUCCUCUUUUCAGUUAAGCCCCAGUGCAUCUUUCUGGAAAUUGCCCCAAGCAUAAAAAAUCAGCAGCACAGGACAGGGGCUGCCUCCCAUCCCAGACAAGUGAGCCAAAUGCUCUUUUACUCUGAAUUAUUCUCUCUACACAAAUAUUCUUUUCAAAAAGACUCAUCCUGGGCUCUCCCUCAAAUGAAAAUUUUCAGUAAGCUUGCCCCACCGUGUCCCUUUCCCCAGUUGCUGUGCCAAAUCAGAACCAUAAAGAUUAUCAGAGAACAAAACUUCAAAAAGACAGACCCAGUCCAUCCGCUCUUACUUCAGGAAGGACCAAAACUAAACAUACCUCAACUAAAAGGAAAUCUAGGGGCCGGCCAGGUGGCACAGCGGUUAAGUUCGCAUGUUCCACUUCAGCAGCCUGGGGUUCGCUGGUUCGGAUCCCGGGUGCAGACAGGGCACCGCUUGGCAAGCCAUGCUGUGGUAGGCGUCCCACGUAUAAAGUAGAGGAAGAUGGGCACGGAUGUUAGCUCAGGGCCAGUCUUCCUCAACAAAAAGAGGAGGAUUGGCAGAUGUUAGCUUAGGGCUAAUCUGCCUCAAAAAAAAAAAAAAAGGGAAAUCUAAAAGCCAGUAUUUUUAAGUUGAGAUUAAGAUUCCAAAAUGUCAGCAAAAACCCAGUAUAAUGUUAACCAAGUCCAACCCCAAGUUUAUUUUUCCCAUACCCAAUGCUCACCCUUAGUAACUCCAACAGGUCUUACUCCUCUUUCCCUACUUCCACUUAGGCAAUGGACAUCCAAGGAAAUGUCUAUAUAUCCAAAAGAAGAUAGGAUGAAGUCAUAGUUUGAACAAUUCAAGUCAAAAACCACUCUCCAUUAAAUUAACUGAGACAUGUGCAGAAACGGCUUGAGUCCCACAUGACAUUACAGCCAGCUCCUCCCUGAAUGCAGCAGACGAGCAAUGAUCUCUGGGACUCUAAAUGUUGUUUCUCUUUGGACACAAGUCAGUGAGACUGAUCAACUGGGCACAAAGCAUGAGGAAAACCAACCUGAAAAAUCCUAUUUCCGACAAAGAUCCUGCAAGUCCACUAUGACGACCAGCCAGCCACUGAAGGGUGAGCGGAAGGUGGAGGGUAGAGAGAAGUCCGUAUCACGUCAAACAGCCGUUAGGGGUACACAAAGCAGCACCUUUAGAGCUGGUGUCAAGAUGUGCACCAAAAAACACUAGUUCACAGGAGACUGUACAAAAUGGACCCACAGGCAAACACUGGAUUAAAUGAAGAUUUUUUUCUGGAGGACUUCUCGAAUAUGUUAAUGGGGAGAGAAGAUGAACUUGACAGCAGAAACCUUUAUUCACAAUGUACUUCCAGUCACCUGGGUUUUAGUGAACACACUUUGGGAAGCAUCACAUUAGAGAGUCAGUGGCGCCUUUCACAGCUUCAGAGAUGGAAGUGCCAGGUACACUGUGGGACAGAUUGAGCAUCUCUUCCCUGGGAAGCCUUGCCUCACACACCCAACCAGGGUAGGUGCUGGUCUGGGAUGCACUGAGUCCUUCUCCUCCUGGUUAGCACACACCACACUUUAUCAUACUUAGUUCUUUAGUUGUCAGUCUUUCCCUAAAGACUGAGAGCUUCCAGCAGGCAGAAGCAGUGGCCACCCUGGUCAGUUUCUAUCCUGGUCAGUUUCCAAGUGCAGCAUUUGGAACAGCGCCCAAUGCUUGGGAAGCCAAACUGAAUGAAUGGAGCUGGACAAGCCAGGAGGCCACUGAGAGGCCACUGCUCUCAUUCAAGGGAGAGAUGACCAUGUCAGGGGGAAGGAAUUAGAAAGCUUUUAACAACUAAACUUUUUUAAUUUUUCUCUAGUCUGUUGAUAUCAUUCAAAACACUGAAUGAAAAGCGUCAAGUCAAUUACGUUACGAACAUUCAACGGUAAACUUGAUCUGUUGAGUGAAGUCUGCGAGUUCAUCUUCCUGCGGAAAGUCAGAAAGGACCAUGGUUUGAGCACUUUUGCAAGUGAAAGUAAGACACAGUUCUAGGCGAAGAGAGACUGCGACGAAAUUGAGAUAAAUUUGCUUUCUUUUGUUUUCAGAACAAUUCUGCAAAGCCUCAAAGUAGAGGACAGAGACAUUUCAAAUCCUUCUGACAGUCUACGUCUUUGCUUUGAUUUUUAGAAAUGAUUUCAAGCAGGCACAUAAUG